ACUGAAUAGAUACCCAGGUAGUCCGCACCGUAAACGAUGAUCACUUGGUGUUGGAGGUAUUGACCCCUUCAGUGCCGAAAGCUAACGCGUUAAGUGCUCCGCCUGGGAAGUACGGUCGCAAGAUUAAAACUCAAAGAAAUUGACGGGGGCCCGGCACAAGCAGUGGAGCAUGUGGUUCAAUUCGAUGCAACGCGAAAAACCUUAACCUGGGUUUGAAGUGCUAGUGAAUGUGGUAGAGAUAUCACAGGCCUCGGUACGACUAGUAUCAGUGCUGCAUGGCUGUCGUCAGCUCGUGUCGUGAGAUGUC
rnacentral:rRNA from 1 species